GACGAACGCUGGCGGCGUGCCUAAUACAUGCAAGUAGAACGCAGUUGCGCACGGGGGAGUAACGUGUAGGUAACUGCCUGGUAGCGGAGGAUAACUAUUGGAAAGGAUAGCUAAUACCUAAUACUACCAGGUGGAACUGGGUUGUUUUAGCUAGUUGGUGGGGUAACGGCUCACCAAGGCAACGAGACAUAGCCGACCUGAGAGGGUGAUCGGCCACACUGGGACUGAGACACGGCCCAGACUCCUACGGGAGGCAGCAGUAGGGAAUCUUCGGCAAUGGACGGAAGUCUGACCGAGCAACGCCGCGUGAGUGAAGAAGGUUUUCGGAUCGUAAAGCUCUGUUGUAAGAGAAGCGGUAUCUUACCAGAAAGGGACGGCUAACUACGUGCCAGCCGCCGCGGUAAUAC
rnacentral:rRNA from 1 species